rnacentral:rRNA from 1 species
AGUCGAACGAUGAAGCCCUUCGGGGUGGAUUAGUGGCGAACGGGUGAGUAACACGUGGGCAAUCUGCCCUUCACUCUGGGACAAGCCCUGGAAACGGGGUCUAAUACCGGAUAUCACUCUCGCAGGCAUCUGUGAGGGUCGAAAGCUCCGGCGGUGAAGGAUGAGUCCGCGGCCUAUCAGCUUGUUGGUGAGGUAACGGCUCACCAAGGCGACGACGGGUAGCCGGCCUGAGAGGGCGACCGGCCACACUGGGACUGAGACACGGCCCAGACUCCUACGGGAGGCAGCAGUGGGGAAUAUUGCACAAUGGGCGAAAGCCUGAUGCAGCGACGCCGCGUGAGGGAUGACGGCCUUCGGGUUGUAAACCUCUUUCAGCAGGGAAGAAGCGCAAGUGACGGUACCUGCAGAAGAAGCGCCGGCUAACUACGUGCCAGCAGCCGCGGUAAUACGUAGGGCGCAAGCGUUGUCCGGAAUUAUUGGGCGUAAAGAGCUCGUAGGCGGCUUGUCACGUCGGGUGUGAAAGCUCGGGGCUUAACCCCGAGUCUGCAUUCGAUACGGGCUAGCUAGAGUGUGGUAGGGGAGAUCGGAAUUCCUGGUGUAGCGGUGAAAUGCGCAGAUAUCAGGAGGAACACCGGUGGCGAAGGCGGAUCUCUGGGCCAUUACUGACGCUGAGGAGCGAAAGCGUGGGGAGCGAACAGGAUUAGAUACCCUGGUAGUCCACGCCGUAAACGGUGGGAACUAGGUGUUGGCGACAUUCCACGUCGUCGGUGCCGCAGCUAACGCAUUAAGUUCCCCGCCUGGGGAGUACGGCCGCAAGGCUAAAACUCAAAGGAAUUGACGGGGGCCCGCACAAGCAGCGGAGCAUGUGGCUUAAUUCGACGCAACGCGAAGAACCUUACCAAGGCUUGACAUACACCGGAAAGCAUCAGAGAUGGUGCCCCCCUUGUGGUCGGUGUACAGGUGGUGCAUGGCUGUCGUCAGCUCGUGUCGUGAGAUGUUGGGUUAAGUCCCGCAACGAGCGCAACCCUUGUUCUGUGUUGCCAGCAUGCCCUUCGGGGUGAUGGGGACUCACAGGAGACCGCCGGGGUCAACUCGGAGGAAGGUGGGGACGACGUCAAGUCAUCAUGCCCCUUAUGUCUUGGGCUGCACACGUGCUACAAUGGCCGAUACAAUGAGCUGCGAUACCGCAAGGUGGAGCGAAUCUCAAAAAGUCGGUCUCAGUUCGGAUUGGGGUCUGCAACUCGACCCCAUGAAGUUGGAGUUGCUAGUAAUCGCAGAUCAGCAUUGCUGCGGUGAAUACGUUCCCGGGCCUUGUACACACCGCCCGUCACGUCACGAAAGUCGGUAACACCCGAAGCCGGUGGCCCAACCCGUUCGCGGGAGGGAGCUGUCGAAGGUGGGACUGGCGAUGGGA